UGAGUAACCUGCCCUUAACUCUGGGAUAAGCCUGGGAAACUGGGUCUAAUACCGGAUAUGACUCCUCAUCGCAAGGUGGGGGGUGGAAAGCUUUAUUGUGGUUUUGGAUGGACUCGCGGCCUAUCAGCUUGUUGGUGAGGUAAUGGCUCACCAAGACGACGACGGGUAGCCGGCCUGAGAGGGUGACCGGCCACACUGGAACUGAGACACGGUCCAGACUCCUACGGGAGGCAG
rnacentral:rRNA from 1 species